ACCCCAGCUCUUAUACCUAUUGCAAAGACGGAGACAGGGAAAGUUCUGGAACGUGCCUGCUCUCACAAAGCACAUCAAGCAGCACAGCUGGGACUGAACACUCCUGCAUCUCACAUCGGCUUCCUGAGAAGUGGGAAGGGAGGAUAUGCAGCCCAAGAGUGGGUCAGUAACUGAGCCAAGUGACUGAGGAGGAUGGAAGGCACUUGGACUUUUUUGACUUGGAGGGAGAAUGACUCCUCUGAGCAAAUCUGAAAAAUACUUCUUAUAAGCAGAGAUAACUGCAAGCAGCACUUCUGAGCUGAAGGACAGGAGGACCAUCUUGCCUGGAUGUUAACAGCAGUUAACAGCCAUGUCCUAUCUGGAAGAGAAAGCAGAUCACCAAAAUACAAUGAGCAGGAAAGCAUUUUCUGGUCCCGUCCUACCCAAAGACAGCACCAGGAACUGUAGGAUUGUCUUCAGGAUAGGAAGCUCCUGUGGCAUGACUGAGGAUCUCUGAGAAAGAGAUGAAAACUAGAACUGUACAGAAGAUAAAUGGGGAAGGAAAGAAUAUUUCUACCUUUGCAUUUCAGUUCUUUGGGAUCCUCUUGCCCUGAUUGUAAGGGGUGUAUCCUGAGCUGAGCUGCUGGAAUGGUCACAGUGCUGGGCGCAGUCUGAGUCACUCAAGGUGUGAAAACUCCAAGUGCAGUGCCACCAUGAGAUGGGCAACUAUUCCUGGAUGCAUCCCUAGGAAGCAAUUACCAGCAAGUGUCAGUGCCUUUUGGGAGACCUGGGAAAUUGCAUCUUUAAUACUGUGUUCAGUGUUGGUUGACCAACACCCAGAAGAAGUAGACUCAAACGACAGGAAGUACAGGGAAGGCCUUCUAAAAAUUAUUAUGAAAAUGUAUUUUGUCUUGUAUACAAAAUUUGGCUUGUUUUGUCUAGCAAAAUAAAUAAGAGGGGGCUGUGGCUGUGCUCUGCCAGUACGCUGGGAGUAAAUAUCAGGGAAGCAGAUGAUGUAUUCACAGUAAAAGAUGAUGCUUUGUAUUUUAGUUAAAGCCUUCUUAAGGACACACA